GACGGACGCUGGCGGCGUGCUUAACACAUGCAAGUCGAACGGAAAGGCCCUGCUUUUGUGGGGUGCUCGAGUGGCGAACGGGUGUGUAACACGUGAGUAACCUGCCCUUGACUUUGGGAUAACUUCAGGAAACUGGGGCUAAUACCGGAUAGGAGCUCCUGCUGCAUGGUGGGGGUUGGAAAGUUUCGGCGGUUGGGGAUGGACUCGCGGCUUAUCAGCUUGUUGGUGGGGUAGUGGCUUACCAAGGCUUUGACGGGUAGCCGGCCUGAGAGGGUGACCGGCCACAUUGGGACUGAGAUACGGCCCAGACUCCUACGGGAGGCAGCAGUGGGGAAUAUUGCACAAUGGGCGGAAGCCUGAUGCAGCAACGCCGCGUGCGGGAUGACGGCCUUCGGGUUGUAAACCGCUUUCGCCUGUGACGAAGCGUGAGUGACGGUAAUGGGUAAAGAAGCACCGGCUAACUACGUG
rnacentral:rRNA from 1 species